rnacentral:rRNA from 1 species
CGUUGCUGAGAAGUUGGUCAAACUUGGUCAUUUAGAGGAAGUAAAAGUCGUAACAAGGUUUCCGUAGGUGAACCUGCGGAARGAUCAUUAUCGUACAAAAUGUGAGAGGGGCAUGCGAGGGCUGUCGCUGACUCAAAGUCGUGCACGCCCGAGUGUGUCGCCUCACAUAAUAAUCCAUCUCACCCUUUGUGCAUCACCGCGUGGGCACCCCUUUGGGAUCAUCUCGGAGGGGGCUCGCGUUUUCACACAAAACCCCCCUUUUAAAAGUGUAGAAUGACCUCAUUUAUGCGCUAACCCGCAAUCAAUACAACUUUCAACAACGGAUCUCUUGGCUCUCGCAUCGAUGAAGAACGCAGCGAAAUGCGAUACGUAAUGUGAAUUGCAGAAUUCAGUGAAUCAUCGAAUCUUUGAACGCACCUUGCGCCCCCUGGUAUUCCGAGGGGCACACCCGUUUGAGUGUCGUGAAAACCUCAACCUCCUUGGUUUCUUCUGGAGACCAAAGCAGGCUUGGACUUUGGAGGCCUUUGCUGGCACCUCUCGCCAGCUCCUCUUAAAUGAAUUAGCAGGGUCCUCUUUGCUGAUCCUCGACGUGUGAUAAGAUGUUUCCAUGUCUUGGUUUCUGGCUCUGUCACCUUUGGGACCCGCUUCUAACCGUCUUCAACCUUGCGUUGAGACAACGUUCGAGCAUGUCUCCCUUCUCGGGAAGCUCCCUCGACCCCACGAACCCUUGACCUCAAAUCGGGUGAGACUACCCGCUGAACUUAAGCAUAUCAAUAAGCGGAGGAAAAGAAACUAACAAGGAUUCCCCUAGUAACUGCGAGUGAAGC